rnacentral:rRNA from 1 species
GACGAACGCUGGCGGCGUGCCUAACACAUGCAAGUCGAACGGGGGGAACAUGAAGUAUUUCGGUACGGAAUGCGCCCCUAGUGGCGAACGGGUGAGUAACACGUGGGCAACCUGCCCCAGACUGGGGGAUAACAUUGUGAAAACAGUGCUAAUACCGCAUGACAGGGUUCCGGGCAUCCGGGACCCUUGAAAGGAGAAAUCCGGUCAGGGAUGGGCCCGCGUCCAAUUAGCUAGUUGGCGGGGUAACGGCCCACCAAGGCGACGAUUGGUAGCCGAACUGAGAGGUUGAUCGGCCACAUUGGGACUGAGACACGGCCCAGACUCCUACGGGAGGCAGCAGUGGGGAAUAUUGGGCAAUGGGCGAAAGCCUGACCCAGCGACGCCGCGUGAAGGAUGAAGGUCUUCGGAUUGUAAACUUCUUUGAUCAGGGAAGAAAGAAAUGACGGUACCUGAAAACAAGACCACGGCUAACUACGUGCCAGCAGCCGCGGUAACUGUAGUCGU